UGGAGAGGCAUGGCAAAAUCCCUGCCUGUAUACUGAAUGGAAUGCAGUUGAUUAACAGAUCAUUUCUACAUAUAACGAACAUGGCAUGUGCUUUUACAAUCAUGCAGUGUUGGAAGCAGAGCAUGAGGGAGAAAGGAUAGUUCCAGUCCCGUGCUUCUGGAUUUCUUUAUCUUAGGGUCAUCAGACCAGGGCCAGGUUGCCACAAAGUGCUCAAUGACCCAUGAGAAAUGAAUCAUGUCUUCAUUCCAGGGCGUAAUAUAUGCCUUACAUCACUAUUAGAAGCAAGCAGCUCUGUGGUUGCUGGCUCCAACACGGAUUAAGGUCAAAAGUGGCCCUGGAGACCAAAUUCCCUAGUGAGGCUUUGCCACACAACUCCACGUAUCCUUUGCUUCUGAAUUCUUUCUUCUCCUAGCAACCACUACUAAACACCAAGCUUCCCAGGCUGGUAUUAUGUCCACAUAAAGUUUAUUCUUCUCCCAAAGAACUGUUGAACUACAAGUGAGACUCUUAUUAUGAGUUAAAUUGUGUUACACCCAACUUGUUGGUGAGAGUCCAGUUUCUUUUUAUUAUACUCCAAAUUUGUUGUAAUGACGAUUGCUUGAAAUAAAUGGGCAAUUGACAGGGGCUUAGACUUAACAGGGAUGCUUAAGUGAUUUUUAGAGUGGCAGUAUUUGCUGUAACAAAAUUUGACCUAUAGGUUGGUUAUUAGUUUUAUUCAUCACAUCAGAAACUUGGCACACAUCCAUUGUUCAUGUCAUUAUAUGCAAAGCAUUGUAGCAUGAAAUUCACUUCUAAAGCUAUGGAAAAAAAAAAAGCUAAACACAAGAGGCUCAUAGAACAAUAAAACCUCAGGCAGGGGGAUAUUUUGUUUUGUUUAGCUAGAUGUUCUGGGGAGUGAAAGGUUUAUUCCUUCUAACCCCUAAAAGGUGUUUGUUCUGUUGUUUACAAAUUCUUUCCUUCGGAAUGUAGUUUCUUUGGGUGUGGCCCUCGUGGUCAUUUUGAAUAUAGUUAUGUUGUCCUAUGAUACAAUGUGGCUUUUAUGCGUUGAGAUGUGUAUAGAGCUGUUUUGGCACUAAACGCCUCCCUAAAACACUGCUUUUGGAGAUCUUCAGUCUACUUAACAUGUUUUGUCCUCUCUAUUACUGCCAGCUCUUUUUCUUUCUUGACGUUAAGUUUCCUCUAAAAGUUUGCUUCUCACCCUUAAAUUUAAUCUGCUCUAGGCUUGGCAACCAGAUGGCAAACAUUCAGAAUUUUGUGUGAGGUAGGAAUAAACAGGUUCUAAGUGGGUGCUCGAUGGGUAGAUGUAUGACCUUUCUCUCAGAUUUUGUUUCUUACCAUUUAUUUCAGCCAGUCAGAAGCCUUGUUUCUUAGUUCCCGGUUCUCAGUCAAUUUUGAAUGGGUCCAGCAGAGGUUCCAGAUUUUUCUAGUUCUGUCUCAAUUACUCAUUGCCAAACCACUUGUUUGGAUUUCAUGUUUGGGAAAUAGGGAUACGUGACACCAAAGGUAAAGAAAGGGCUGAAUCCCUAAAAUGGUGUGAAGCUGUGGGCCAUUUUUGUAAGGUAAGUGGUACCCUGUGGCCGUGAUGUCUGAACUCCAUAAAUGAACUAGGAAACAGACAAGCUUUGUUUGCAGUCCUUUUCCAAUACUACAAAAGGUGGCCCAAUGUCAAGCUGUUGAAGAUGCUGUCAAGAUGUUUGCGGAUUCAGUGUCAGAGCUGCCUGACUUUUGAGAUUCCAAGUCGAUGGCAAGAGAAACCAUAACUUUGCGUCUCCUGGUGAUUUCAUUAUUUGUGGCCUUGGAAUAGAGAAGAUCAAGCACGUCUAAUAGUUCCCUCCUUUCAAAAGUGCAGUUUCAGAGCUCUCCUAAGCCACUCCAGAGAAGUCAGGAGUAAAUGAGACCCCCACAUGCAAUAUUCAAAACACCCUGAUCUCCACAUUACCACAGUGAAGAACGCAGACCAUCAUGAAUAUUUACACCUAGCACAGUCCUUUGUGCCCAACGCUGAGAGACAAAUGGUAUUUCCAGUAAUAGUUUAUUGAUUUCCAAAUGCACAGGGGCGCUGAGUCCAAACAUCCUGGGAUAGCGGUAAAUCUCUCUUACAAAAUAAUUUACAGUAUGAAAAUGAUAUACUGAAACAUUAACUCAAACGUGUAGUUCCCUUGAAAGAUUGAGUGUUCCCUUGUUUAAUGUAAAGGGAAAGGGGGAAGAUGGCUAAGGAGGGACGGUGACGGCACAGGAAAGCGGGCAGAGGGUACUUGAUUGGUUGGUUCUUCCCACCACUGCAGUGUGGCCUGUCAUUGUAGAAAGACUACCCAGAUUUAACUGCCAUUAAGUAUAAAUCUAUUGUCCCCUCAAGGUCAUAUCAAGCCCAGCAUGGGCUCGGUGGCAUUUUUUUUUUUUUUUUUUUUUGCACCAGUAUACUCACAACUGUCUUAAUUUAUUUUCAUUUUCCUGCUCUGAGGCUUGUUUUGCUGUUGCUGGUGUGAUCUCAGUUCCAAAUGCUACUGUUUUACCUGCGGGCCCCUGGAGGGCAGGAACUGCCUGGGCCUUAUGGCACGUGGAAUGGGUUGGGGUGGGGGCUUCAGGAACACUGCUGGGUACAGGCAAAAUUAAUGAGAUCUAAAGUCUCCCCUAGGGGCCGCCUUUUCUUAGGGCUGGGCUGAGUCCAUCCAUAAUGAGAUUUGUUUAAAUAGAAAAUUCCAGACGUGCUAGGCACACGAGACACCCUGCAACUGAUUUCCUUAUUGAAAAGCAUGUAUUGAACUGCCAUUAUGUGAGUGUGGAGAGUGUUUUCUAGGUGGGGGAGAGGAUUCCUAGGUCCUGCCGCUACUACAAGCUGUGACUCCUGCAGCCGUGCCCUCAGGCCUGAUUGGCGUGGUCAGACUCUUAGGUCACCAAAAUGGCUGGCUCUCCCAAUUUCCUCUGUCAUUAGAUGAGCUGGAGGAGGGCUGGAGUGCAGUUUCCUUCAGGGAUGUCACCUUGGCUCAGUGCUUCAGCAGCUGACAACAUUUGCCAAGGAGUUUCUCUUCUUGUUAGUGUUGUAUAAGGAAGCGCCUAAGCUCCAAUUACCUGGUGACACUUAUAAUCAGGGCUGGCAGAAACCUACACCACAUAAUGAGGAGGCUGCUUUGAAUUUCCUUCAGUUCUUCAAUUGUGUGUGUACGUGUAUGUGCGUAUGCAUGUACAUAGAUACAUACACACAUAUCGUUUGUGUGUGUGCAUACAUGCCCAUACACAUAUCAGGCGUCAGCAAGCAAGUCUCGAUUCGCUGGACUCAGACCCAGCACGUCCUCACAGAGAAGACCUGGCUAGCUUUACUAUAGUACGAAGAUUUCCUUUGCUGCAGCAGUGCAGCAGAAGACAUUCUCCAAUAGUCAGAAGGCAGACACCCUUCAAUCAUCCUUUUCUGACAAGCUCUAUACUCUUGAAGGCCUAGAAACACUUUAUCUAUGGAAGGAGAGGUGGCACCAAAAGGGAAAGGCUCCCCCAACUCCUGGGGCCAGGCUUACGUUAACGACAGGUACUUCAAGCAUCUGCUAAAGUGCAUGAAUAAGGCUACUCGAUGCCAUUUCUGAGCCCAAACUACAGCCACAAGAUGUUGGAAAAGAAUUCGUAAAGUGGGCAGGUCAGAGUGCAGUGGGGGAACCGGAAGCCUUUUUCUCCCCCUGUAUUUUAGAUGCACCAUGGGCCACGGGGUUAAGGAGAGCUGGGUUCAAACUCGGGCGCCAGUAUCUGCUAGCUGUGUAAGUCAAGGCAAGAGACUCUUCCAGUCCAAAUCUGUUUUAUCAUCUGAGGUGGGGGCCUUCUACAGGGCCUGGCUCAUAGUUAGUUCCAACACAGGCCACUUCCCUUCCGGACUGUCAGAGUGGAGACUCCAAGCACUUCUUGGAAGUGCUCUCUGGUUUUAAUGACAUCAAAUCAAAAGGACAAACCCCCUCUCAGCCUCCAGGCACCCAGUAUUUGGAAGGCAGCCAGGGAUGGGUGUUAGGACCCAAUUCAUUCUGCAGACAUUCAGUAGCUGCCUCCCUUGAUGACGCUUCCCUCGGGAUUUCUGCAAAGCCUGCCGUCUGCAUCCUACUCAGGACACACUUUUGAGCACUCUAACUUUUACUGACCUGGCAGGAGGGAAGAAGCUUCAUCAUGUUGGGACGAAAGCCUGAGCAGCACACUCCAGCGUUGGGGGAAGCUGGUGCCACUGCAGGAAGCAAUCCCAGUUCUUACAUUGAUAAAUGCUGCCGGCAGGAGCUCAGGAAGCUGGGCAAAAGUGCCGCAUGGGGCUUAAUGCUUCACUGGUUAAAGUUUUAUCAGGUGCUGAAGACAGCAGGAGCCCAUAAAGCAAAUCUGAAAUCCUUUCUAAGUGAAAGCAAAAGUGCUUUCCUUGAGGAUUACAGAGACAUGAUAAUUUACUGAGUCGGGCUGGCAAGUAUUUUUAUAUUUCCGUUCAUACCCAUUGCAUAAAUGCUUGGGUUUCCCAAAGCCUGAGAAGUAGUAACAUAUGAUCAGGUAUGGAGAGACCAACGGUCUGACCUUCCACUGCUAAGAUAAGGCUACUAUGUAGAGAUGAAAAACUAAUUAUUUGGAAAAGGGAACAGAAGCUUCCAAAUGCUAAAGUCUUCGUAAUCUUCUGAUGUUUAAACUCUUUCAAGAGUGGCCACUGGUCUUUCCUUAAGAGUCGUUUUGUUGGAUAUGCUGCGGGUUGUAAUUAGUGGUGUGCCAAAUUCUCUAGCCUCUGCGGGCAGAUGGGGAAAGCACUGAAAUUGUCUUAGCCAUUUGUUAGCCACCAGUUUGAGAGAAAAAUACCUAAAAAAAAAAAAAAAA